CUGGAAUCAAGAGUCAGACACAACCAACUGAGCCACCCUGGUGCCCCAAAAUGGAGAAUUUCAAUCUCAUGAUUUUCUUGGAAGGUGACUGUGGUGCCGGGUCAAGCUUGAGAACCACUGCUCUCCAGCAUCUUCCUGGGAUGCAAACCACAUUGCUAUCUGAUCUCAUCACACUUCUGCCAAGAGGUGAAAUCUAAGAGUCCACGUCCUUGAUGCCUGACAUCCUUUUCAGGUCACUUACCUGAGAACACCUGAGGACACUGAGUAAACCGCCACCAUGAGGCUCGAACUCACAACCCACCCCAAGAUCAAGAGUCACAUGCUCUACCAACUGGCCUAGCUGGAUGCCCCCAUGAAACUUUUAAUAGGAGAUGGUGACAGAUCAAAACAUAAAAUCUCAACAUACUAUCGGAUGUCGUCUUGGAAUGAGGGCGUCUCCAGGAUGCGCUGCCAAUCCCUGGAAAAUUUAUAGAUCUUAAGAAGAAUUCCCCUAGGAACUCUACAGACAAGGGAAACCUAUGUGCUUCCAGCAAUACGGACUGGGAACUCAGACUGUCUUUCUUACCUCCCCCUCCCAUGAGAGCCAGAGAUCAAACAGCCAUCCCAGAAGGCCAGA